rnacentral:rRNA from 1 species
GACGAACGCUGGCGGCGUGCUUAACACAUGCAAGUCGAACGGAAAGGCCCUGCUUUUGUGGGGUGCUCGAGUGGCGAACGGGUGAGUAACACGUGAGUAACCUGCCCUUGACUUUGGGAUAACUUCAGGAAACUGGGGCUAAUACCGGAUAGGAGCUCCUGCUGCAUGGUGGGGGUUGGAAAGUUUCGGCGGUUGGGGAUGGACUCGCGGCUUAUCAGCUUGUUGGUGGGGUAGUGGCUUACCAAGGCUUUGACGGGUAGCCGGCCUGAGAGGGUGACCGGCGACAUUGGGACUGCGAGACGGACCAGACGCCUACGGGAGGCAGCAGUGGGGAAUAUUGCACAAUGGGCGGAAGCCUGAUGCAGCAACGCCGCGUGCGGGAUGACGGCCUACGGGUUGUAAACCGCUUUCGCCUGUGACGAAGCGUGAGUGACGGUAAUGGGUAAAGAAGCACCGGCUAACUACGUG